UAUUCUUAUUGCCAUACCACUG
rnacentral:siRNA from 1 species